rnacentral:rRNA from 1 species
CGUAACAAGGUCUCCGUUGGUGAACCAGCGGAGGGAUCAUUACAGAGUUGCAAAACUCCCACAAACCAUCGCGAAUCUUACCCGUACGGUUGCCUCGGCGCUGGCGGUCCGGAAGGCCCUCGGGCCCCCCGGAUCCUCGGGUCUCCCGCUCGCGGGAGGCUGCCCGCCGGAGUGCCGAAACCAAACUCUUGAUAUUUUAUGUCUCUCUGAGUAAACUUUUAAAUAAGUCAAAACUUUCAACAACGGAUCUCUUGGUUCUGGCAUCGAUGAAGAACGCAGCGAAAUGCGAUAAGUAAUGUGAAUUGCAGAAUUCAGUGAAUCAUCGAAUCUUUGAACGCACAUUGCGCUCGCCAGUAUUCUGGCGAGCAUGCCUGUUCGAGCGUCAUUUCAACCAUCAAGCUCUGCUUGCGUUGGGGAUCCGCGGCUGUCCGCGGUCCCUCAAAAACAGUGGCGGGCUCGCUAGUCACACCGAGCGUAGUAACUCUACAUCGCUAUGGUCGUGCGGCGGGUUCUUGCCGUAAAACCCCCCAAUUUCUAAGGUUGACCUCGGAUCAGGUAGGAAUACCCGCUGAACUUAAGCAUAUCAAUAAG